GAGAUUUCAGUUUAGAUCUUUUCACACCAAAUCCUGAAUCCCGAAGACCUUGUCUAGAAGACGACUUAUUCUGAAGACUGGAAACUCAAGCUGAGGCCUGACAGUGGUGACCACAAAUUGCCUCUGGUUAGAAUGCAACUGUCCCACCUCCUAAAAAUGCACCUUAACUCACAAAGGAGGUAAUUAAUUUUCAUGAAGAAAAGGAUCUCAAGAUGAUGUAGGUUUCAAUCUUCCUUCUGGAGAUUGCUGUUGAUUGCCAUUAAUUGACUCACACAUCUCUCCUGCUGCUGAAAUGUGUUGAUUCCUAGUAGGCUGGCCCUACUGUGUUCGUAAUAGGGGCCAUGUCUUACCAAGAACAAUCACAUCUUCGCCUUUCAUAACGUAAGUAAAAACUGGCCAAAAGUUUCACACACACACACACACACACGCACACACACGCACACACGCGCACACACAUGCACACACACAAUCUUAAAGCAGAAAUCCACCAAGACCUUGUUCCAAAUAUAUCUGGACAGGAAUAGGCUGAGACCCUCUUGGCCUUUUAACCCACACAAUAAGGGCCUCACUGAGCGGCUGCUAGAGUCUUGAAAAAGAGGGAUGCUCCAAAGCUGACGGGCCACCAGGAGGGCAUAGCUUUUAAUUUAACCUGACAAUGUAGUCAUUACAUGCUUUCUCUUCCUGCUUGCCUGCAAGAACAAAGGAGAUUUCUCCCUGGAAGAAUGUCAAGGAGCCCCACGGAUACACCCCUUGGUCCCUGUCACUCCCACCCUCAUCCCAAGAAAAGGAAAUAAAGAUGUAAAUUCAUUUCUUCACAAACAAAGACUUGGAAUAAGAUGGUCAGAAUGAGAUGAUUUUCUUUUCUCCCUGAGGGGGAAAAAAAAAAAAAACCAUAAAAACCCUUCCCUGUAGCUCUGGAUACAGGAAAAACGCAAUGUAACCUUCGGUUUUUGUUCAAUACUCCUGUAGACUCAGAGAGGUUCUGCUUCUUACCCUCAGCCCUUACUUCCAUCAUGAUUUAAAAAUCAAUCGAGUAAUGUGGACCUCACGCCACUCGUAUUACUGGAAAUCCACCCCGAGAAACAUCCACUUGUCCCCCCACCCCCCGCCCCAAGUAUCUAGUGAAGCUUUAACUAAAGAUUCGUUGGGCUGUACAAUGUGUGUGAGUGAUCUCUCCAAAGCUCCACAUAUUUAUGACCAGGCAAGCCGGAGGCCACAGCACCUAAUGCUGCACUUGGCCAUCUGGCUUUCACUCUCCUUGACAAUGGAUGGCUGGAGGGGAGAACUGUUUAACUGUUUACUACUUCAAGACAUUUUAAAAGGUAAUGAAUGUACAAACAACGUGGGGAAAAGAGCCCUCUGUAAGGUGGCUUAGAGUCGGGAUAGAAAAUUCAAACAAUAUUAGCCUCAAAAAGUCAACAUUAGACGCCCUUCUACUAAGGGCCUACAAACAAACAGAGUUACUCUGUACACACAUUAACAAACGCAACUCCACGCUGCUGUGGCUUUCACCUUCUCAGAGCCUCGAGUUCAAACAUGCGUUUGCACAGGACUCGGAAGAUUCUGGAACUGAGGAGGGGCUUCAUCUCCUAAGAGCUUUCAGUAUCAGGACUUUCCCACCUGACUUGUUCAGGGUGAAUGAGGGCCGGGGAGAAGCUCAAGUUCAGGCAGGGCUGGGAUGCAUUUGACCCUAAGACU
rnacentral:lncRNA from 1 species